UACGUAGGGGGCUAGCGUUGUCCGGAAUCAUUGGGCGUAAAGAGCGUGUAGGCGGUCCGGUAAGUCCGCUGUGAAAGUCGGGGGCUCAACCCUCGAAUGCCGGUGGAUACUGUCGGGCUAGAGUGCGGAAGAGGCGAGUGGAAUUCCUGGUGUAGCGGUGGAAUGCGCAGAUAUCAGGAGGAACACCGAUGGCGAAGGCAGGUCACUGGGCCGCAACUGACGCUGAGGAGCGAAAGCAUGGGGAGCGAACAGG
rnacentral:rRNA from 1 species